rnacentral:lncRNA from 1 species
AGCCCGCGUGCGGCCCAUGGAGGCACCGGUCUCCAAGGGAACCAAGCUGGAGGUGAAAGACCUCGGGAGAGUCUCCUAGGCGCUGCGAGGAGCAGGCGCGCGUUGUCCCCAGACGUGGGUGCGCAUCGGAAAGGCGGUUCCCCGCCUGCGUGGGUGCGCGGGCCGACCUGCGACCCGUGACCGUGACUGGCAGGUGGGCGACGGGCAGGCGUGCCCGCGGCCGGGGCGGGGCAGGAGGGUCUCCGAAGGCCGCUGCCUCCCGCUCGCUUACGCUGACUCACCGCCUGCGGUGGGAGGAGGGGCGGGGGUGCUUGGGGGCCACGCCCGGGCGCCCGUCCGCACCCCAGUGAGUGCCGACCUGGGCCGACCUCCCGCAGCAGGCACCUCUGUGUCCCUGAGGGGCGCGCGGGGCUUGGUGGUGUUGGGCCCCCAGGCCCGCACUCACGGGCCCGUGUGCGCGGAAGCCGCCUGACGCGGAGGCCAUGUGCCUGGGGCCGAUUUGGAGCGCGGUCUGCGAGCUUCUGGCAGGGAGUUGGGGAUGGAAACCCCGGCCGAACGCAUCCCGGAGGCGGCCGCGGUGGGGUCGGCUUGCGGGAGCAUCGCGGCUCCCACGCGUGGGCCCGGUUGCCAGGAGCCGACUCCCAGCAAUGAUUUUGGUUUCCAAGGAGACGAGGCAAGCAGCCACCUCGGGAUGCGGUGACGCCGCAGCCGCGCGGAAGUGGGGGCGCGCAUGGUCCGGGCCCCCAGGCAGAGAACCGAGCAAUGCUGACUCCAUGACUGGACUGGGAAGUGCCCCUCAUUUUGUCUCUCCUGGAGAAGUGGGAGAACCCCCACCCCGCCGCUGACUCCAGCUCCAGCCCAGGCGGAGGCUCAGCUGCUCCACAGGGCUCUCCUGGGUGAGCGUCUGUGUCUUGUGUCUGAAUUUGUCCGUUUCAUUUAAAUGUUUAGGUUUGUGGGUGCAGGGAUUUGAUUUGCUACUUUCACUGUAUGUACACCCUAAUAAAGCUGACAAGAUAAACUGGGCA